AUAUUUAACUCGCUGGAAAAAAUAGAAAAUUCUCAUUUUGGUUAGGUAAUAUUUAAAAUCACGAAAUGAACGCUAGUCCAUGUUUCUUGAUUCUAUAUAAUAUAUGUUCCAAAUCGCAUUCAAGAAAGAUUAAUAAGCUCAAGACUGAAUCAGAAUGUUGAAGGGACACCCGAUGAUAUGAAACUAAUGAAAAUGUUGGUGAGAUUGACGCUGCCAGAGAAUUGAAUACGAUACACUAACACAUGUAUACUUCCAUCAUCUUCUGUAUACUAUUAUCUGUAGAUACUAGUUCAUUGUAACAACAAAAAGAAAUGCCCAUUCAGGAAGGCUUUGAUUCACAGUAGAGUGGAGCACUGAAUUCUGGAUCAUGAACUUGUAAACAUGGGAAAGAGAGGGUGGGGAAGCCCACAAGGGUAGCUUACAUUGCAAUCCAUCGACAUGGAAGAAAUUUAAUGCGUGUUACAUAUUGGUAUAUAUUUCACAUAUUCUCAUGGUUUGUUCUUGCUUCCCUUUGUGGAACACAAACUUGAAUCGAGGGUUUGAUAGUUUGUGUAUCGGCUUGGAGCAGAAGUUCGUCGAAAUCCUUUAGGCAAGCAAGCCUCCACACCUUGACCUACUCGAGAGCCAUCUUCAUCUUCAUGAUUCUUCUUGGUUUCAAAUGCAAUAUAAUUUUCGGAUUUCGACCCCAUUGGCCUCAUGACUUCUUCAGCAAGUGCUCUGGACGCGGAUAGUCCCACAUAAUUUGGAGAAAAAAGUAGCAGGGCACAGAACAGAAGGAUGAAGGAUGAACAAGUGUUGCUAGGCAUUUUUUUAAUUACGACUGUUGUUUCCUUGGGUAAGGACUGUUUUCUUCUGGUGUAGUGUUGAAGGAGAAGGAACAAGGAGCCUUAAAUAUAUAGGCUUGUGAGGCACAGAUUAUGAUGAAAAGUUGGCAAAAUUAAUGAACAGCUCAUAGUUUAGGUCUAGCAAUCCAGUUGAUUGUAGUACCAGUGGUUGAAUGUUACAAGAUGAGAUCGCCUUUGCAAAAAUGCAGGUGGAGAAUCUCGUGCACUUCAUUACUCAUUCCUAAUUUGCUUUUUUACAAGUCAAAUUCCUUUAAAGUGUGAUACAAAGUCCAGAGGAAAAGCUCAUUAAAAUGAGGAAUGAAGUAUUUGUCCAAAAAAAUGAAAAAUCAAAAUAAAGAAAGAUAGAUUGGAGGUUAAGGGUAGUACUAAUAUUUUCUACAGCUGGUCAAUUUUUUUUUUUUUUUUUUUUGUAGUAGUAGUACAGUCAAGAGUAAUGCUUCAUACUGUAACAUAAUGUGCAAAAUGAGUUUUGACACAUAAAUUUUAAAAAUAAAAAAUGAUUGUCCCAUCUCAUUUCAUGAGAAAAAUAUAUAAGUUCAAUGGCAAAUUAAAUUUGGGGGGACCUCAAUCUUAUGAAAUGCAAUGAGGAGAGCUGCUAAUGAUCACUACUCAUGCAAUGGAUUAGAUGCACAACUAUAAAUUUAAGAAUUGAAAAAGAAAAAAAAAACAAAUUCUUAGGAAAGUUAAUCUAGAAAACACUUACAUAAAUUAUAUGGAAAACAACAAUUGAUCUAUAGCCAGGUAGAGCUCCUAAAACUUUCAUAAAUUAAUUUGCACGAGUUUUUAUUGUAUUCUUGUUAUUUUUAAGUGUAACUGAGCUGUUGCUAUUACAUUUAAUCACCAAAUUUUAUUUAAAAAAAAAAAGAAAUUGUUGAACCAAGGAGAUAUUUUGGAAGAUAAUUGAACACAUUAUAUACCGUAUAGACUUUUUCUUUUUCUUUUUUUUCAUGAGAAGCAAUAGAAAGUAUAAGUUAAAUCGAGUUAAUGGGCAACAAAUAUUACUGGUCUUAGAUGACAGACAGAGAGUUUUGAUUGGGCCACCUGGAAUUAGUAGCUUACCUGUUCACCUGUUUAGAUUUGCCACGCGUAAUUUGCUGGCAAAAAUUUUCAAUUUUUCACCUGCCUAUAUACGAAAUCUCAACAACCAAAGAGUUUUAUCCAGUAGUGAAGCUUGAUGAAACGACACGUGUCACAAAUUUCUAUUUCUAUUCCUAUUUCUUUUUUUUUAUAUAUAAAAAUUUUAAGUGAAUGGUUUUAAAUUCAGAACCUCUUUAUAUUUCUAUAUCUUUUUCUUUGUUUUCAUUGAAGUAAGUAAUUAAAUUGGCGAUUGUCUUUAAUAUGAUUAUACUUCUUCUUCUUGACCAUUGCAGUCGCUUUUCUCAUAAUUUCAAGUCCAUCAAAACAUUCUGAUAUGACUGAAAUAAAAAGAAAAAAAUGUUCAAGUUUAAAUAUCCGAUGUGAAAUUGGAGAUUUUUGGUUAGAUAUGACUUAAACAAAAAAAUAUAUAUAUAGAGAAAAUGUUCAAGUCUCUAUACACACUUAACUAUGCAUCCCCCAAUUAAAUUUUCCUUUCGUGCCAAUAAGAAUUCAACACUACGAAUAACUAAUUUCUUGCGCUAAAACCAUAAGCCUUUAUUGUACCUGAAAUCUAGGUGUUCUUUGGAUGGUAUCAUGUGAGCUUUUAAGGUAGAGAGGAGAUGGCACACAAAUAUGAGUCAAAGUCUAUCGGUGAACUCUGUUCACGUGAGACAUUUGGCAAGGGGUCAUUAGAUGAUAGGCAUGCCAAAAAGGGUUUCCUAUCCACGAGUUCUUUAUAAUUUUAUUAUUGUUUUACGAUUUGUCUAUGCCAAAAAGGGUUUCCUAUCCACGAGUUCUUUAUAAUUUUAUUAUUGUUUUACGAUUUGUCUAACGAGUAUUUUAUAUUCGCAAGAUAUAUUUCAAGUGUCAUACUUUUUAAAAAUUAAAAGGCCUUGUUUGACAGGCAAAUUUUUUGUCAAGUUUGUCUGCUACGAGUUUUUUAAAAACUUUAGUUACAGUAAUCUCAAAAAAAAUUUCAAAAUUUUAAAACUAUACACUUCAAAAUAUUUAAAAAUUUACACACUUCAAAAUUUUUUUUAAAAACUUCUACAAUAAGUUAGAGUAAAGUUUUAGAUAAAUACCUAAAAAACUCACUUGCCAAACGGGGCCUAAGAUUAAUUAGGAAACGUAAAUAAAUAUAAGAGAGAGUAGAUAAAAUUAAAUAGAAAAAGUAUAUAAAUGCAAUAGAAGAUAAUAAUUGUUAAUAUGGGUAUAUAUAUAUAUAUAUAGUAAGUUAGGUGAAUAUUAAGUGUGUUAACGAAAUGCUAUUAGAAAAUUUUUUUUUUAUAUGGCUUAAGAUGGUUUGGUACAUAUAUUUUUAUUGUUUUUAGAUGGUUUAAGGUGGUUUUUUGCUGAGCAAUUAGUGUCAAGUGAGUGGUGGAACUUCUCCCAAGAUUUUUUCAAUACGACUUGGAGUCUCCCUUACGUAGGAAAAAAGGAAAAGUCACCAAGCUAUAUUUUCUAAUGAGAUCGGGCAAGAGAUUGAAAGGUCAAAGGAGCGGAUGCCUUUCAUCCUAAAUCCUAAUGUCUCCAUGCCCACCUCUAUAUGACAAAGUGGUUGCAAAAAUGUAUUUGAUUUUGGUUGACAAAAAACUCGACUUAAAUCAAUUGCAUCUCGUCAAACUUAUUAUAAUUUUUGAAAGCUAGAAUUUAAUCUAUUAAAUAGGAUCUAGAAACAAAAUUAACCUAAAUGAGUUGUUGCUCGUUGUGAUUUGUUCCCAGAUAUUUGAAUUUUGCAUGCUUGAUGUUGCAAUUGGUGUCAUGGGGUAGGGUGAUACCGUUGUGAUAUUCAUAAACAAUCGUAUUCAUUUACUUUGGCUUGCCUUGUUGUGUAGUUAUGUAACUUGAUUUGCUGUAAUGUUUUUUUUACAGUUUCUCAAAAGAGUUUAUCUAUAAAAAGUUACUAAAAAUCACCCCGAUGUAUUAAAAUAAAAUAUAUAUAUGAAAAUUUCUAAAAUUGAGGAGGUGGACCAUUUUUUAUUUUAUUUCUAUCGUGUUCAGUAGCAUCUUCCUUCUCUUUUUUUUUUUUUUGUCGACACAGGGGUGUCUGGGUCAAUCCUUACGGGGCCCGACUAAUCCCCUGCGGCCUGAGAGAGGAGGCCCCACUCCACACCGAACAUGUUAACAGCGGGACUCGAACCCUGGACAAGUCAGGAAGGUCACCAUACCCCUAAGGAGGGGAAGCGGACCGCUCGAACUACCCCGCGGGGGCAAAGACCAGCCACGUAGAGUGGCAAGUUGUGGGAGGCAGGGGUUGAACCCCUGACCUCCAGCAUCCCAAAGAAGGGGAUGACCACUGGACCAAAUGGCCAGUGGCAUCUUUCUUCUCGAAAAUACAUUUCUCGAUACCCUAUCAAGGCCUUAGGCCUUCCCAUUUCUUUCUUCUUUUCUUUUUUUCUGGAUCAUCGGACGGCAAAGCCCAGUACAUUAGGCCAUCUUUGCUGGCAAGUAUUUCCAGACAACCCCGCGUUAAGUAAAAAUCUACGUCUCCUUGAUGCCUUGCAUAAAUAAGUUUCAAGAGCCAAUAGGCCUAAAUUUCUGGUCCAAGAUAGGCCCAACCAUGGACAAAGUCCAAUCAGUCACCACUAAGAUGAAUCAGUCUGCCCUGAACCAUGCCAUCUUUGGAUUCAAGGGACCAAAUUCUGGUCGAAUGUAUCUCCAAAAAAAUUCUGGUCGCAUGCUUAAUUCUAAUUUCUUUUUUUCCUUUAGGAAAAAAAAUCAGAUAUGAAAAAUAAAAACAUGGAGUUUUCAACCAUUACGCAUUUUUCCUUUUUUUUUUUUUUUUUUGCUUUGACCAAAUAGACAUGAAGAUUAUCACAAGCAUAAUUAAAGCCUUGCUCAGAUUGAGUUCCUCUCUUUCAUUGUAUGCUACUUUAAGAUUUCCUUAGUUUUUCGUUAAAUUCUGUGGCAGUUUUCGAGUAGCAAGAUUGGUCAAGGAAGGGUUUUUAGGAUCUUCUCCGUUGUCAGAUUCUGAGUGUUUGAAUCUCGUGUCUGACAGUUGGGAUGAAAAGGGUAUGAAAAGUCGAGUCAGAUUUUGGGUGUUUGAAUCUCGUGUCUGACAGUUGGGAUGAAAAGUUGCGAGAGAGUUUAAAAAAAAGGAUAACAAGAGUUGAAUUUACUAUAUAAAUGCUCAUUAUCAAUGACACGAGAGUUCAAAGCACAUGUAGAUACGUACGAGGUUGCUUUUUCUUGUAGGUGGCAGCUGCAGUUGUACUUAAAGAAAAUCAGUUUUUAGUUUUGUUUUAUUGGGGUUUAAUCUGUUUUAACUCGUAUCCAGCGGAAAAUAGAAUGGUACAUAUCGAGCAUAAGUAUACAUCCGAUGAACAGAAGUAAUUAAGUAGCUGUAAUUAAUUUGCAAUUUGCUUGUCAAGACUUAAGAUUUAGGAAUCGUACGUGGUUGUCAGUUGUCACGUCCAGAGCUAAGCCACAUAAAUUAAUCUGAACUCGAACGCAUCCCAACAAUGCAUCUAAAUGCACAGCUCGUGAAGAAUCUUUAGCAAAUUCUUUUUAAUUACUUUUUUUUUUCUGAUAUAUAUGGUCAUGGAUUAAAAAAAAGCAAUAACAACAUUAAUGAGUGGAAAUCCACUUGAACAAGAUUCGCGACUAGGAUUAAUUUUUUAGCUCUGAGUUCCGGAAAAAAAUUUAUCUAAUCAGGUUGGAAAUUAGGAGGAUAUUAGAUUAAUGAAGGGCAUCAGUAUUAGCAUUAAUUUAUGACUAAGAUGCUUAAUCAAUUUUGCCAAUACUGAGGGUGUUCACAUUGAUCCCCAAAUAAAUCUCCCCAUGACCGUGAAACCUAUCAUCAACAUCCAGUCAGAUCACCACCACCUUAUACCCGACAGAUUAAUGAUAAUCACGUGAAUUAAGCAUCAGUAUUUACAUGGGCCUUUGCUUUGAUGACUAAUUAAGCACAAAAGGUUAGGCUGGCUGUUGCUUUGAAAAUUAAUUAACCUCAUAUGGUAUUGUCAUUUGCUUGAACUAGUUGAUUAUGAUAAGGCUAUGAAAGGAAGAGUGGGGGAGGGUGAAGGAGGGCGGGGGAACAUUAGCCAAAACCGAUGCUAAUCUCAUGUGCAUUAGAUGGCUAGUGCUUAAUUAAUUAGCUCGAACUUAUUCAUUAGCAUUAGACAACAAUGGGCCAUUCAUCAUGGUCGUUUUUUUUUUUUUUGGGUAAUUCUAGCUUGCAAGAUCUAUGUAAAAUUUAUUAUGAUUUAGAGUUGCGACUAGUGUACUUGAUGAAUUAAUAUGUUAUACGUUCAAGCAUUUACGGCGUAUAAUAAGAAGUGUGUUAGAUAUGCUAUCGAAUAUACGAAUUUGAAUUUCAAAUAUGACUUGAUUUGAAUUUUAAAUGUGACUGCACAUUUAGCUAUUCACUUUUGCACAGUAUUUGUCAUUCAUUUGAUUGAGAAAAUUGAGGGCUAUGAUAUUCACGAGGUUCCAAAUCCUAGACAUAUCACAUAGAUCCACGAAUAGUUUAGUUUAGAGUCAAUAUAAGGUUGUUUAUAAAGCCUAAUUGUACAUCAUAAAAGUAGUAUAGUUAACAAAGGAGAAUCGAGUUGAUCAUUAAUCACUGUUAUUAUGACUAGAUUUCGAGACGAAUCAAAAGUUAGAUAUAGGGUUGUCUGCCAUAUUUAUCAUCAUUUCAAAGACGUUUAUGAUGCUAAAAAGAUUAUAGAGAAUCUUAAAGUUAGACGUAUCACAAGUUAGAUAUAAGGUUGUCUGCCAUAUUUAUCAGUAUUUCAAACAAUUUUUUAAUCCUAAAAAGAUAAGGGAGAAUCGUAAAAUCACACAUCCAAAUUGUAAAAUUAAAAUAUACUCGUUUACUAGCAUCUUAAACCUUAACUCGUUUAAAAAUUAGGAAUUUCAAAACUAAGAAACAAAAUUUCUACAUGUAUAUAGGCAAUUCCAUAAUCAGUAAAUAUCAAGGACCGAGUUUGUAACACGCUACUUUCAACCAUAGAAAAUGUAAUUCAUUAGUUUACUUGACUGAUCUAAGAUGUUGCAAGACAAUAAAUGAACAUUGAAAAAGGUCAAAGUAAGUUACACAAGAGGCGAGAGGGAGAGCAACAACAUCAGUUAAAUUUGGAGUGGAAAGUAGACAACGAAGAAUGAGUGAGCAUAGAUAGCAAGCAACAAGUAUAUAUGGAAUAUCUCGACGAGGCACAACUCACAAAGCUGUCAUAAAACAAGAGAGGAUGGAUUACCUCUUGACUCCCAAGCCCUAAGAGACAAAAGCACCUUCACAAUGGACGUAAAAUCAAAAGGAAGAUUGACUGUUACUGUUAAUGGCUUAGGCCAAUGUAAGAUUUAGAUUGAAGAUGGCGUACUAGGUUGUUGGCCAUGAGUACGGCAUGAAGCCCCACUUCUCCCUUUGUCAGAUCAUAAAAACAUAAACCCUUCCCAACUGUGUAUGGCACGAGUUUUCUAGCUGGAUCUUUUUCAAGCUGGUCAUCAAAACUUCAAUUUUCUUUUUUCCUUGAUUUUUAAAGAACUAAAGUAAUUUCAUAAAUAAACUUGAGACUCAUUUACUCGAAGCUUAAAAUUUUUAUUUUUUAUUUUUUUAUAAGUGAAAGAUUUUGAAUCAAAAAAUUUUUUAUUUACAACUUAUUUUAUCUUACCACACAACUCAAUUCUCCCGUUCACCCCCGAAACUUAAACUAAUCACUCAAACGUUGGAUAAUAUUCUCGAUACAAGACAAGACGCCGGCUCCAUCAUGAGAGUCCAGAGUAGGGUACCAAGGUGUCUUUCUAAAGCACACGCAAGAUGGAUAAAGAGAAUUAGCCAAUGUGAAUUAUUUUUUAGUCUUUUCUUAUAUAAUUCUUAUUGUUAUUACAGAAAAAUUAAACCAAUCUUUAGAGUAUUUGUCUGUUUUAUUUAGUUGAGGCCAUGUGUAAUCAGUUUAUUUAUUGGCUUACAAAGUCUGUUGAAUUUUUUAGAUGGUAGGGUGGUUACAACUUACAUAGGACCAUUCUAAUAAUUUAGCAGCAGUGGCAGUAGAAACCAGAAUACAGAGCCGCAUAGGGCUUUCAAUGUCAGAAGCCUCAGUUUCGUUUAUAUGGUAGUACUCUUUUUUUUUUUUUUAUAAUUCAUAUACUACGGGGAGAGGAGGACCUGAAGAGAUCUUGGAAUAACUCGGAAGAGACUGAAUCAUCACCGGACCAGACGGAUGCACUACGCACCCGCUUGAAUUUUUUAAACAGGACCAUAUUUAAUUGUGGCAAAUUGAAACCUUGCCUCCCACCCCACCAAGCUAUAAUGCAUUGGUGGUGUCCGCUAUGGUAGUACUUGGUAGCCUCAACUUCAUAGAUCAUUAGAGCCGCAGCCUAUCGUUUUUGAGUAAUUGGAAAAUUUUCCUGUUCUUCUUAUAUCAAUUUUCGUGUGAAUUAUCUAUAGGUUUAUGUUAUUGAUUGAUUUGGAUCCAUCAGUUAUAUAUUAGUACUGAUUGGUGUAGAUUGAUUAGUGACUUUAACGUCGCAGGAUUCUCCUCCCUUCUCUAUCAUCGGCCAUCCUGCGAAGUUGUGGCCACAAGAAGUUCAUAUAGUUAUAAUAUCAAGUUGAGGCUUUCAUCCCUUGAUAAAUAAAAAGGUCUUGGGUCCAUCGGUAGAUUUUUCUUCUUCUGCUACUUUAGCUAUUAAUGCAUCAUACCCAUAUACAGGAAUCGAUUGAAAAGAAGAAAAUGGGAAAAGAAAAUGAAAUCUGAAUUAAUCUUUAAUUUCUUUAAUUUUUAGCUUAGUGCAUGGUAGGUCCAACUAAACCGAGUCUUGUCUCUUGCCAAUGCCAACAAACAAGGAUUUCUUUACAUCCUUAAUUCUCGUCGGCGCUGCUAUUUUUGUGGGAUCACCUUGGCAUUGAUAAAGAACACCCAUGUGUGCCUUAUUGUGUUUUUCAAAACUUGGAAAUUACCCAUUAUUUUGUGUCAAUACACAAACCAUAUUCACAUAUAUAUACGCAUAUUUAAAUACAUUUUCUCAAAGAAUAAUUAUCAAUUAACAAGAAACUAAAAAAAUGCAACAUGGGAAGUUGCAAACAAUGGCAGAGGCACACGUAGCUGAGGGGGUUCAAUUGUCUCUCCCCCCCCCCCCCCCCACCACCAAAGAAAAGAAACUUUAUAUAUAAUUGCUACGUACCUUUUACAAGAGUGUUAGAACUAUAAAAAAAAAAUUUAUGUUAAUCUAAAGCAAUUAAAUUUGAAAGCAUAUUUAAGAUAGGGAAAAAAAAUAAAUGUCUAAGAUAUUUAUUGGUUUUAAACUCUACCAACUCUUGGGUUGACGGUUGUAUUUGACCAAUUGAUUGGUCUAUCAUAACAACUCUUGCUGCUUAGUUGUGCAAGGGAUUGACCAGAACUGAUUGGAAGUUUAUGCUGGAAUUGGGUAUUAAUCCUCGAUCAGAGUCUUUUGUGAUGGAAUAGUGAUGCCUUUUGAUGAUUAUAUAGGACGCUAUUUUCGCCUCUGCGUAAGCUAUGAUUCUGCAGUUCCUCAUGGCUUGACCAAAAAAUAAAUAAUAAAAAAAAAGGUUCCCGCGAGGGAUAGGGUUUGAACAUCGAACCCUCCUGCGUAUUUAGUCAUCAAAAGCGAUGGAAAGUAGGACAGGAAGCAAGGGUCAGUUGGAGGGGACCAUAUUUAAGCUCUGAUCACUUAAGCCCAAGAAAAGGCUGUAGUUUAGGUCUUCUUGCUUUCAGCUGGCGUCAUUCCAAUUAGUUCGUCUAGUAUUUGAUAGUUUAACAAUUUUGAUAAACAUUUCUCGGUCCGAACUUUAUAAUAUUAUACAUUUUACACGUUUAAAAUACAAAUGGCCAAUGAAGCCUGCCAAUUUCUUUCAAUUACUGCAGACUUAGCUGGCAUGCUUGCUUGCGGCCGAAUGCAUAAAAUCGUAUAUUCCAUCAACUUGUUCAAGAAACUAGCUAGGGGAGGCUCAUCAUAUGGUAGUGGUUGAAUCUUGAAAUGUUUGUUUCGGUGCUGAUCCAAUCGAAGGACGUCCAAAGGGAGGCUUCAUCCCCUGCCUGGCCUGGCCUUUGGUACGACUCAUUAAUUUCUGAGCGUAUUUUAUCCCAAAGCAAAGUAUGCACUCACUGCAUCAAACCUUAAACGUAGAAAAAAAGAAUCAUUAAUUAUCGCCUAUAUGUUAUAUUGACCUUAAAUCCUGAAUAUAUAUAGCACGUCAUUUUUUACAUAGUAGGAUGCUCAGGAAGUGCAAUCUGCUGUAUUUUUCCAUGGCAGGAUGCAUGCUCAGGAAGUAUACUGUCUGUACAAUCUCACUAAUUGGUAUCGUUUAAUCAACUUUCUUGGCUUAUCGAGGCAAGCCCACAAACUCUUCCCCGGGCUCUGGUAAAAGAGGAAAAAAAAAAUUGCAUCAAGAUUCCAAAGGCUAAACCAGCUGGUGAUCAAAACCUUCUAUAUAAGCUUCUACAGUUGUCAGUUUCAAUUACAUGGUGCAAGGUCUGCACUAAGCCACAUCAAUGAAACUAGUGCUUAAGAUGCACCUUAAUGUGUGUGCAAUUAACUAAAACCAUAUAGUACUAUAUAUAAAUUACUAUCUCUUUAUAAAGUUUCGUUAGUUAGAUUUCUUUAUAAUUUAGAUAAGCCUAGCUAUGGAAAGUAAUACUAUUAUAGAAACAAGUUGAGAGCAAUACGUGAGAGUUAGUUAGAAGAUUUCAAUGGAUAACUAUGUGCUAAUUGUGGGAAGCUUUUGGAUAGCAAAUUUAUCCAAAAAAAAUUUUCAUUUGUAUCAUAAACACAUUUUUCAAUCUACUUUUUUACGUUCCCAACCACAUUUUUAUUUCACAUACAUCACAUCACAAAAAGUGCUACAGUAAUUAAUUCAAAUAAUUAUUUGAAAUAAUACUCUAUCCAAACAAAGCUAUGUUUUCUUUUUUGGGAACAAUAUUGAACAAAUUUAUUCGUAUAAUUAUGGAUAGAUUAGAAACAUUAAAAAGUGACGUUGUAUGCUUACAUUUGAUAGCAACACUCUCCUAUUAUAUAUUAUAUAGAUAUAUUGUACACAUGUCAAGGAUUAACUGCCAUUAGUAGUAGUAGAUAAGCAUUUGGCCAAAAUAACUGCCAAAACCAUUAUGGAGAAAAAAACUGGACGGAUACUUAGGUAAAGAUCAUCAUAACUUUGAAAUGGACUCAUAAUUACUUUUAGUCAAGAGAAACCUUUUUCAUAAUUUUAUUACGGGACCUUUUUGCACGGCCGCACCAGGAGUGUUUGGCAUCUUUUCGAUGUAAUGGGAUAAAAAAAAAAAAAAAAAAGGAAAAAAUGGCGCAGAUCAAUAAGUCCAUUUAAGCGUCCACAUCAGAACGUACGGGUUUCAUGCCCCAGUCUAGAUGGUGGUUGUUGACGUGAGGAAUCUCGAUCCUACUUUCCGAGCUCCCUUUUUUCCUUUCCUUUUCUUUUCUCUGCUUCUCUGGACGCUGUGAGUCCACAUCUUCUCUCCUGAGAUUAAUAAUGGUAGUUGCUUAGUUUUGCCUAGUUUUUCAUGGGCCAGUGCGCAGCUGAAGUCGAUCCAUCAAUGGGAAGGAAGGCGAAAAUCAAAAGGAGGAUGGUGUAAGCAUGAAUAAGAUUUUUUUUUUUUACUAAUGUUUAUCAUGGUAGAUAGUACACUUUUCAUCUGCUCAUCAACAUGUUCAUUAUCCGGGAUGGAUGAUUAGAUUUUUGCUGCUUUUGUCUUGGAUGUAUGCACGUCACUGCAACCUUUAUACUGCUUUUAACUUUUAUUAUUAUGUACCAUAUUAUAAGAGGACAGAUUCAAGGUCUACAAUAUAUAUAUAUAUAUUUUUUCUCCUCGAUAAACUUUAGGGGUUAUUCACCUAAAUUUGGAACCAAUUUAAAAUGUUAGAGGGGGAAUAUGCAAGUUUCAAUUCAAUGUGUCAUUUUUUUUUUUUGUCGACAUAGGAUAUCCUAGAAUCACCCAAACUAAUCCCUGCGACAGAGCAGAGUCCGCCCCUAAGGAUGCUUAACACGGUAAUUCGGGAAGAAUCGAACCGUGGUCGAUGUUGUAAAGACAGACGGUAAUUCAAUGAGUCAUGUUGCUUGAAUCUUUUUUAACGUUAACCUAGUACUUUGUGCCCUUGAACCUUAAACGGAUACUCAUAUAGCACUUCAAACAUUUAUAUUGAGACAUUUUGUACCCUGAAGUGCUCAAAAUUGAUACUGGGAGUGUUCAAGAUAAGUAUAAUAUAUUUCACUUUGGUCGAAAAUCAUUUAUGAUAAAAACAUAGCUGAGUCGAGAUAUAUGUGUAUGGUCCCUUCAGGGACAUCCGAUAAAAUUGGAAUGAUACAGAGAUACAUGUGUAUGCAAACACACACGUGUUGACGUAUGAUGUCUAUAUAUAUAUAUGUAUAUAUAUAGACAUAUAUGGUGUAUAGAAAAUAUAGAAAACAUUUCCUAGUACUUGUUUCAGCAAAUUAAACAAAAUCGCUUUCUAAUGUUUGAAACUUCUUCAUUAAUUAAUAGUUCGAUUUCAGCAGAUUAUCUAUCUAUUCAAGAAACAGCAAAUGUUAAAUUUCAUCGCCAAAAGAAGAAAUCUAUUUUGUUGUUACAUUACAUAUAAAUGAAAAAAAAAUGAAUUGGAUGACGACAAUAAUGGUAAUGAUGACUCUGCCAGCAUCACGAUGAUGUGAUCAUAAUGAAGCCGUUGAUGCUAAUCAAAAUGAUUUUAAUGAUGAUUUUAAGUCAUUUGUCCUUUGCUAUAAUGACAUCAAAUCAAGAUUUGUAACGUUGUGGGUUUUUUGUUGCUUUACGUGUUCAUAGUCUAAUCAUGAUCAUAACUGGAUUGAACCAAAAGUCUGCUGUAAUCUUGCGCUAGAUCCUACUCGUGCUCUUGUACUACCAGCACACAUAGUUGCAGCAGCACAAUCUGAUCAUCUGUAUAGCAUAUAUGCAGAAAAUCCAGAAUAAAGUAAUGCCACUAGGAGAGAGUGAUGAACUGGCUCUUUCCUUCUUUUUUUUUUCAAAAAAAGUGUACACAAUUCUGUAUUGUAAGUGUUGUUUCUCUUUUUCUUUUUUUUUUUCUAAUUAUUACUUCUCUCUUAAUUGCAUCCAAAUUUAACAAUUAGAUAAAAUCCAAAAGGAUCUUGCAACAAUAUGUAGAUUCCUUCGUAAAUUACUAAGGGUAGGUUUGAUAAAACUGAAACCUGAAAACUAAAGUAUGAAAUCUGAAUCCAUUAACUUAUUAAAUUGUUAAAUAUAAAAUCUAAUACAUUUGAGUGCAUAUAUUACAUUCAGUGAUAAGUGAAUAGUUUAUCACUUAAUUUUGGAAACAAGUUUUAUCUAAAAAAUUCAAUGCCACUUAACUAAUUUAAAUGUUCAAUUUUUAGUUAUCAAAUAGUUUAAAUAAGUUAAGAUUUGAAUCCAUUAACUUUAAGUGUUGAACUGGAUUAUCAAACAGGAGCAAAGUCAAAUUUUAUCUUAUUUGUGACAAUUGUUAAUUGACAAAGCCCCUUCUUGUGCGUAGGUUGACAAGUUAAUAAAGUAUAUGGAGCUGGUUGCCUUAAAAAUUCAGUGGAAACCAGUUGAUAAAUAAAUCAUUUUGAUCUUGAUCAAAGUUUGAACAGUCACUAAUUAGGAAUCAAGCGCUCAAUUUCAACUUGCAGCUUAAUUAGUUGUUUUUUCACUCCUACGUAUAUUCCUUAUUUUCUAUUCUUUACCUAUCAUGCAGAUCUAGAUUAUGAUUUGUGACUUUGAGUUAAUUAAUUCCAAAUUUUGAUUUAAAACUAGUUGGAGAUAAAGUUUGAAACACAAGAAGUACCAUUUCGGUAUUGAGAAAACUUGUGAAGCCAGCUGCUUAGUGACCUUUGCCACUAAUCUUUUGACAUUAACUUAAUUUUUCUUUAUCUUUUAUUUUCUUUCUUUUUUCUUUUCUUUAAAGUGAAAGUGCAAGUUCGCCAUAUUCCAACAUGUUUUCCAUUGCUUUAAAGAAACAAUAUGUAAUGGCUGAAGCUGAAGCCAAGUUAGCUGACGUCAGAAAGUUAGUUAGGAAGAAAUAUUCCAAAUAACAGAUUGCAUGUGCUGGUUAUUUGAUCUUGCAUGUGAGUCAUUUUGUAUUGCAUGCGUUGGUUAUAUUGUUAAAAUACCAGAAACUAGUACAAAGCAGGGGAGGAAGAGAAGAGAUGUAGAUUUUGAAUGUAAACAAUUCUCAUUUCAUCUAUAAUAUCUCAGUUUUCUUUCCGCUCAUACCCCUCUAUUUCUUCUAUACCUUUAUUUCUAUCUUUCUCUCUUUGAAUUCAUUCCUUCUUGUACAAGACCAGUACAAUUGGUAUCAGAGCUUGCAGUCCUUGGAUCUGCAAGCUCAGCUACUGAAUCUGUAGCUGACCAUGACGGAGGGCACCAGAAUGAAAGGCUUUGAAGAACAACUGAAGAAGCAGGAUUCACGAAUUCAGAGUAUCUUUGAAGCCAAUGCAGCUGCCAGAUUAGCAUUGGAGGAGAAGUUGGCGACAAAUUACUCUGAUAUGAAGGCGCUGUUAGAAGCAAACUCAGCUGAGAUGAAAAAUUUCAAGGUUUCCAUGAAUACUCAAUACACUGCUUUUGUGAGGAGCUUACAAGGCGACAGAGGGAUCUUAGGAACUUCACCAGACACCACGGAGAGACAAACUGUCCAAAGGUCACAGAAAAACUUGGAGUUGCGGCUGUCCAGUCAGGGAGAAAGGAAUUAUCUACCUAUAGGGACUCCUAAGGUGGAAUUUCCCAAAUUUGAUGGUAAUAACCCCAGGGAGUGGGUUAGGAAGUGUGAGAAGUUUUUCCGUUUAUGUCGCAUUCCGGACUCUCAGCAGAUGGAUCUAGUGGAAUUGCAUUUGGAUGGAAAAGCUAGUAUCUGGUAUCAAGGCUUCAAGGUGGAUAAGGGCGAGUUACGAUGGGACAGAUUCAGCCAGGAGCUUUGCAUUAGAUUUGGAAAUUUGGGGAAGGACGAUGUCAUAGAGGAGUUUAACAAGCUUCAUUAAACUUCCACAGUAAUGGCCUACCAAGAAAAAUUUGAUGAGCUGCGAGCUAUUGUAAUGCUCAAGGUUCCUGGUCUCACUGAAUCUUAUCACGUUUCCAGCUUCCUAAGUGGAUUAAAGGAGGAAAUUAAGUCUGUGGUCAAGAUCCACAAGCCUACCACCCUACAAUUAGCAUUUGAGAAGGCGAGAUGGCAGGAACACUAUUUGCAGGUUAUGUCUAAGCAACACAAGAUGGCCACAAAACCAACUCCAGUUGCAGAUGCAAUGCCGAAGAAGCCUACACACCAGGCGUUUGACAGUAGUACCAGUAAAACUAUUCCCCAAGGCCCCAGGAGGAUUACGCCCACUGAGUUCCAGUAUAGGAAGGAUCACAACUUAUGUUACAAAUGUGGAGAGAGGUUUUCUCCUGGGCACUUUUGCAGGAAUAAGGGAAUUCAUUUGCUGCUAGCAGAUGAAGGCGAGGCACAAGUAGAUGAAGUAGUAGAUGAAGAGGAUAAGGUCAUUGAGUAUCAAGGCAACAAGUAUGGCAGAGAUGUUGCACUAUCUCUCCACUCAGUUUCAGGCCAAUUGUCUUUCAGUACCAUUAAAAUGCUGGGGUAUUAUGGUGAUCAAGAGGUGUCAAUCCUGUUGGAUGGAGGCAGCACCAACUGUUUCAUAAAGCCAAUUAUUGCUCAACUCUACCCUGGAGCUGUUAAGAGUCAUAAACCUUUUAAAGUCAAGAUUGCAGAUGGGAAAGAAUUAGUUUGUAAGCAAUGGAUUCCUAAUAUGAAGUGGCUGAUGCGAGGCCAUUGUUUCACUCACAAUGUGUAUGUGUUAGACUUGGAACCUUACGAUCUGAUUUUGGGGGUUGACUGGAUGAAGUGUUAUAGCCCCAUGACUUUUGACUUUCAAAAGCUGUCAUUAUCAUUUGAGAAGGAGGGUGAAAUGGUGCUACUGCAAAGGGAUUCCCACUCUGCUAAGGUGUUGAUGAAGCAAGGAGUAUCUGCCCAGAGAUAUUGCAGAAACAAAAUCAGAACAGCUUUGCAACACUCUUGCAUGAUUCGAGUACAAAACUCACAGGUAACUACUGUGCCCAAAACACUCACUCAAUUACUUGCUCAAUAUGAUGACAUAUUUGUUGUACCUACAACUCUACCCCCCAACCGGUAGCCUCAAUCAUCAAAUACCCUUGAAACCUGAUACUAAACCUUUCAAGAUUAGCCCAUAUAGGUAUCCCCACAGACAAAAAACAGAAAUAGAAAGGCAAGUCAAAGAAAUGUUGGCCACUGGCAUCAUCCAAACCAGCCAUAGUCCAUUUGCAUCCCCAGCCUUACUGGUUAAAAAGAAAGAUGGCAGUUGGAGGUUAUGUAUUGACUAUAGACAACUUAACAACCUCACCAUCAAAGAUAAGUUUCCCAUUCCAAUCAUUGAUGACCUCCUUGAUGAAUUGCAUGGUGCCAAAGUUUUUUCAAAGAUUGAUUUGAAGUCAGGGUACCAUCAAAUAAGAAUGAACUCAUCUGAUAUCCAAAAAACAGCUUUUAGGACCCACUCUGGCCUUUAUGAAUACUUAGUGAUGCCAUUUGGCCUCACUAAUGCUCCAGCAACCUUUCAGGCUUUAAUGAACUCCGUAUUUGAACCUUUCAUUCGAAAAUUUGUGCUAGUAUUUUUUGAUGACAUUCUAGUUUACAGUCCAGAUCUUGACUCCCAUCUCAAACAUCUCUUCCUUGUUCUUGACAUCCUCAGAAAUCACUCCUUAUAUGCAAAAAUGUCUAAGUGUUCAUUUGGGCAAGAUAGAGUAGAGUAUUUGGGGCAUAUAGUUACUGGUGAAGGAGUCUCUGCUGAUCCUGGAAAAGUGAGCCAUGUUGUCCUGGCCAUCCCCUACCAUUGUUAAAGGUUUAAGAGGCUUUUUGGGACUGACAGGUUACUACCGGAGAUUUGUGCAAGGAUAUGGGAAGAUAGCUAAACCUUUAACUAACCUGCUCAAAAAGGAAGAUUUUGAGUGGGAUGAACAAGCUGAGCAUGCUUUCCAGGAACUCAAACAGGCUAUGACUCAAGCUCCUGUACU
rnacentral:lncRNA from 1 species